rnacentral:rRNA from 1 species
UACGUAGGCAGCAAGCGUUGUUCGGAAUUACUGGGCGUAAAGAGUGUGUAGGCGGUGCUCCAAGUCUGGUGUGAAAUCUCCCGGCUUAACUGGGAGGGUGCAUUAGAAACUGGAAUGCUAGAGGAUGGGAGAGGUAAGCGGAAUUCCUGGUGUAGCGGUGAAAUGCGUAGAUAUCAGGAGGAACACCGGUGGCGAAGGCGGAUCUCUGGGCCAUUACUGACACUGAGAGACGAAAGCUAGGGGAGCGAAUGGG